rnacentral:tRNA from 1 species
GGAGCUGUAGCUCAAUCCGGUUAGAGCGCCGGCCUGUCACGCCGGAGGUCGCGGGUUCAAGUCCCGUCAGCUCCGCCA